rnacentral:rRNA from 1 species
CACGUAGGGUGCGAGCGUUGUCCGGAAUCAUUGGGCGUAAAGAGCGCGCAGGCGGCUUGGCAAGUCGGGUGUGAAAUCCCGGGGCUCAACCCCCGGGACUGCAUUCGAUACUGUCAGGCUAGAGGUAGGUAGGGGAGAUCGGAAUUCCUGGUGUAGCGGUGAAAUGACGCAGAUAUCAGGAGGAACACCGGUGGCGAAGGCGGAUCUCUGGGCCUUACCUGACGCUCAGGCGCGAAAGCUAGGGGAGCGAACAGG